CAAAGAGAAGCGAAGCGGUGACGUGGAGCAAACCUCAGAAAGCCAAUCUCAGUUCGGAUUGUAGGCUGCAACUCGCCUACAUGAAGUUGGAAUCGCUAGUAAUCGCGAAUCAGAAUGUCGCGGUGAAUACGUUCCCGGGUCUUGUACACACCGCCCGUCACACCAUGAGAGCCGGGGGGACCCGAAGUCGGUAGUUUAACCGCAAGGAGGACGCCGCCGAAGGUAAAACUGGUGAUUGGGGUGAAGUCGUAACAAGGUAUC
rnacentral:rRNA from 1 species